CGCCUCCCCCCACACCCAAUCCCUAACCUCCCUCCGCCUCCCCCGACCUCGCUCCCGAAUAGGAUCUAUGAUGCCGUGAUUAAGACGGGGACGGAAUCCAACGCGGGCAAGGCCGCGCUCGACGCGUUGGGCGCUGAGCUGACUACCCCUCUCGUCGCCGACGUGCUGCACCGCCUCCGCUACGAGGAGAAGCUGGCGUUUCGGUUCUUCGCCUGGGCGUCCCAACAGGACGGCUACAACCACGAACCGACGACUUACAACGACAUCAUCGACAUUCUCUCCGGCACGCGAUACAAGAGCCGCCAGUUCGGUGUCCUCUGCAACGUGCUCGAUCACAUGAAGCGCCAUGGCUCGAGGUCGGUGCCGGUUGAGGACCUUCUGGAGAUCCUGCGCGCCUACACGGAGAAGCAUCUCACGCACAUGAGAAAGCUGGCCAAGAAGCGGCGGGUUCGGAUGCGUACGCCGCCAGAGACUGAUGCGCUCAACGUUCUGCUGGACGCGUUCUGCAAGUGUGGGAUGGUCAAGGAAGCAGAGGCAGUGUUUGGUCGCGUGAAGAGGAAGUUGCUGGGUAAUGCAGAGACAUACAGUACCCUGUUCUUCGGGUGGUGCCGGGCGAGGGACCCCAAGAAGGCCAUGAAGGUGCUCGAGGAAAUGAUUCAGAUGAAGCACACGCCAGAGAGUUUCACCUACGUUGCAGCCAUUAUAUCAUUUUGCAGCGCUGGAUUGGUGUCAGAGGCAAGGGAACUGUUUGAGUUCAUGAGGACUGAGGGGUUGACGAUAUCAUCGCCCACAGCCAAAACAUAUUCGAUUAUGAUUGUUGCAUUAGCAAAGGCUGACCGGAUGGAGGAGUGUUUUGAACUGCUUUCAGACAUGAGAAGUUGUGGCUGUAUGCCUGACGUGACGACUUAUAAAGAUUUGAUUGAAGGGAUGUGCUUGGUGGGUAAACUGGAUGCUGCUUAUCGUGUGUUGGACGAGAUGGGGAGGGCUGGAUUUCCUCCUGACAUUGUCACGUAUAAUUGCUUUCUUAAUGUGUUUUGUAGUCAUCGAAAGGCUGAUGAUGCACUUGAACUCUGUGAGAGGAUGAUAGAGGCACACUGUGAGCCCAGUGUUCAUACCUAUAAUAUGAUGAUGAUGAUGUUCUUCGAGAUGGGAGAGGCACAUAGAGCAUUAGAUAUAUGUCUUGAGAUGGACAAAAGAAGAUGUCAACGUGCUAUCGAUACCUACGAGAUAAUGAUCUAUGGUCUCUUUGAUUGUGGAGAAACAGAAUAUGCAACUGCUCUUCUAGAUGAGGUUAUAAACCGUGACAUGAAACUUUCAUACAAGAAGUUUGAUGCUAUAAUGCUGAGGUUAUCAGAUGUAGGCAACCUUGGCGCGAUACAUCGGUUGUCAGAGCAUAUGAGGAAAUUUUACAAUGUUGCGAUGGCGAGACGAUUUGCAAUCACUCAGAAGAAAAAGAGCAUAGGCCUGAGAAGGAAAUGAGUGUCGUGGCUAUUGCUGCUGCUGUUUCUUGUUAGUUGUUACUGUGGAUAAUCAGGAGCUUAUUCAAAGGAUCAGAAGGCUGAUGAAGCUAUUUUGGAAGUGUUAGACCUUCGAUGGUGUCUAUGUUGGUGAUCCUUCUAAGCUCAGUAUGAAGGCUGCAUUUGGAAAGGUUUGGUGGUUGAAAGAAGCUGAUGGUAGUAUUAUUGGUGGAACCAUCAAGACAAAUUCAGGAAAUGAGCAAGAAUCCAAAACCACCCAGGGAUGCGUAAGAGAUUGAUGCAUUUUCUUUUUGUUCCACUAAUUGGCUGUUCCCGGAUAUAUAUGCAACGCUCGUGUCAUCUGUUCCAAUACUUGAAGAAGCAGCACGCUACGAGUUGAGAUAUGGGCACAGAAAUAGAGCUACAAGAGGAGGUGGAUAUUUUGGCAUAUUACACGUUGAGUGGUGAACUCAAGUAUCAGUUUGGGUCUGGAAGGUGAAGCUGAUCAGUUGCUGCUGGAUGAGGCUUCUCAACGACGGCUUCUCGACAAACAUCAUUAUGCCCGAGUGCCAGGUGGCAGAGCCUGCACUUAAUCAGAAGGAGGAAGUUAUGAUAGAAUAUCGACCACCAGCACCUGCAGUUCAUUCUAGGCCUGCACCCCAAUGGAUAUGCCCAGUGUCUUUUAUAGAGCUCAGUAAAACUACCUUCCCUUCCCCUCUCGUCUAUGCAUGUAUUCAAAACCUUUCUUCUCUUCGGUGAAGUGGAGGUAGGCUUAGCUGCAAAAUCCUGUUUCUUGUCAUUGAUUCGAGGAUUGCUGCUCUUUUAUUUUAAUGUAAUCCAGAAUGGUUCAUAAUAUUGACAGUUUUGGUUUUACACAUAUUUGUGGUAUUUGUUGCUGUUUUAUUGUAUUUGUUUGAUAAAAACAACGUAUGCUACAGGUUGUGGAGGUUUCUACCUACAAGACUGGUAAGCAUGGCCGCACCAAAUGCCACAUUAUUGUCAUAUUAUAGUAGUUAUUUAGAGUUAUAGUAGUAACUCUAUACAAAGUUAGGGUAUUAUUUAGAGUUUUUGAUGUAUGUCAGUGUUUGGCCUAAACUGAUACUUUUUUGGUUUAUUUGUUUGUACGACGUGUUGAAUGCAUAUUGUGGAGCUGGACAGUUUGGCCUGCAAAAUGUUUCUCUGCAGUUUUACAAUAUGUUUAGCUUACAUGAACUGUAUAUGGCUCUGUGAUCAUCUACAAUAUGUACAUCAAGGCACUCUGGUUGCCUCCCUGAUGCCAUCAUCUACAAUAUGUACAUCGAGGGGUUGUAUAAACUACCAACUAUUAUGCAUAUUGUCGCAUUCGUAGAAUGAUCAGUCAAAGCCUUGAUCACAUACAUAUGUUCAACAUAACUUAUGCUUCAGGUCUUUAGCAUGGUAUGGCAGCAUGUUUGUGUAUCCACUCUGUAGAAAAUAUCUUAUGCUUCAUGUCUUUAGCAUGGUAUGGCAACAUGUUUGUGCAUCCACUCUGUAGAAAAAAGAUGUCAUAUGUACUGUAUCGACACUAGAAUUUUGUGUUGUUUUUUCAUCUGAAAAUGUAGGUGGAGAACAAUGAACUUUAAUUGAGUAUGUUAUUUCUCCAAUUAUACUGGAUGUUUGGGCACACCCGUUCAUCAGCAUUGAUGUUGUCGAAGUGUUAGAGGCUAUCAAGGCUCUUGGAUGCUUACAGGCACUUGUGUCUCAAAUCCUUUCAACAAUUGGAUCCAUUUUAGUGAAAGUGACCAACCACGUAGGCGCCCACACCCCACGUGUGUGUACCUAUUUGCGGCGUACCCGGCGUUGAGCUUGUUGUUACAGCCAACCAUGCGGAGGCCAGGGUCCACGAUCAGGUGGUCCAAUAGUGUCAGGUUGAAGUCCCCCAAGCUGAUGAAAUAGGUGGAUUGCUCUGGUUGUUGAGAAGUUUGUUGAACCCGAUGUUUCCUUGGUUCCAACACUGUCAUGCUCCAUCGAUUAUUUUGGAGAGUUGAUCAGUGGGCAGAAACCGUGGAAGAAAAGCUGACAUUUGCACUCACCCGAGCCCUAUCAGCAGCGCCGGCCCUGGCAGGGGUCGAGCAGUGCCCUCAACCAGGCCCCCAGAUUAAUGGAGCCUCCCUUUAGGUACUAAAUAACAUUACGUAUAUACAUGCAUAUAUCAUAUAUUGUAUAUGUAUGUCUGCUGGCUCUACAGAACUUUGAAAGACGUAAUUAUAAGCAAGGAGAAUUAGGCGUAGCCCGUCAAUCUUGAUUUC